rnacentral:rRNA from 1 species
UGGGAGUAAUUGCAUCAAUGGCAGGCAAGCCAUGACUGCAGCCAUGCCCGCGCCGUAUGAAGAAGGCCAAUUCGGGGCUUUGGUUAAAGAUACUUUUCAGCGAGGAGGAAGGCGUUGUGGUUAAUAACCGCAGCGAUUGACGUUACUCGCAGAAGAAGCACCGGCUAACUCCGUGCCAGCAGCCGCGGUAAUACGGAGGGUGCAAGCGUUAAUCGGAAUUACUGGGCGUAAAGCGCACGCAGGCGGUCUGUCAAGUCGGAUGUGAAAUCCCCGGGCUCAACCUGGGAACUGCAUCCGAAACUGGCAGGCUAGAGUCUUGUAGAGGG